rnacentral:lncRNA from 1 species
UGUGUCAUCACAUCUGUUCUUAUCAAGUCUCUUGCUGGACAGCUAAUGUGUUUGCAGCACAAUGCAACUCACAGUAAUGCCCACUGGCACGGCAUAGUGGAGUCUGCCAACAUUUCCAUUACAAAGCCCUUAGCGCAGGUGGGCUGGCUUCAUCUCCAUGCAGAAGGAAUCAGUCUGCAUAGUAAAGACCAUAAUUUUACAUAUCAGUUUUGGAUCUAUUUGCUGCCAUAUCACAGGCAGAACAUUCACCUCAACCCCCACACAUAGCACUGAAAGAGUCCCUUUGGCCAUCAGCCCACAGAACAGUGGGCUCCCUCCUGGAGCUCCAUUAAAUCAAUGGAGUUCUACCAGUGAUGAACAAAUACAAACAAAAGUUAUUGUAUGAAAUGUCCUUCUUUUACACAGUGAAUCUGAUCGUAGGCUUGUUCUGUUUACUGAGAUCGUAAAUUCUGUGGGCAAGGAUUGUCUUUUUGUUCUGUGUUUGUACAGUGCCCAGCACAAUGGGGUCCUUCUCCAUGACAGGGAUUCGUAUGUGCUUAUGAGAAUACAAAUAAUAAUAAUGAUAAUUAUCCAAGCUCAGGAAGACAGUGAGUCCCCCAAACCUCUUACUUCUUCUACUCCCUUUAGUUACUACAAUGUGUCAACGUCUGCAGUGAUGUAAAUGGUGGUUUUACCUGUAGUGUGUCCUGUGGUCAGAAAGCAGGCGAGCAACUUCUAUUGAUUUGGCAGACACUGACCUGCAGCGGGGAGGGGAUGACGGGACUGAGAGUAGUGACAUAUGGGAGAACUGGGAACUCAGUACAUCUGUUUUUCUCCCUAUAGUUGUUCCUCAUCUUCUCAAUAUAUAUAUUUGGUGCUGGUCUUUGGCUGUAGGGGGCAGCUAUGAAGCUGUUUCUGUGUGUGUGGUUCAGAAGCUCUCGUUGUACUGCAUGAGGCUAGGUAUGAAAUUUUUAUCACUGAAUACUUUGUUCUUUCCCCCCAAAUACUAAAAAUUGAUAAUGAUUCUACCUAUAAUCUUAUCUAUCUCGGGGCUGCUCAUCACCAGAGUAUUUGAGUGCCUUCCACAUGUAAUCAAUAGCAAUAGUGAAAUCCCUAGUAGACUUCCUGGAGUCCCUGGCACGUCUCUGUUUGUGGGGGUCUUACUAGGGCUAUGAUUUUGUCAUGGAGGUCAUGGAAGUCAUGGAAUCCGUGACUUCCACAGAGUGCCGUGACUUGAGCCUGCAGCGCCUGGGAGCUGCAGAGUCCCCCCAUUGCCUGUAGUGGCUGGGAACUGUGGGCCCCGAGCUCCCAGCUGCUGCAGGCAGGGGAGAGAAUGCCCCGCAGCUCCCGGACGUUGCUGGCAGCGGGGGAGUCCUGACGCUCUUGGCCACCACAGGCGGCAGGGC